ACUGUUGUGACUGUUUACAUUGAAAAAUCACACCUCAACAUACACACGUGGUCAGGAUUGUUGGUCACGAAAUUCAAUGACAUCAAGGCUGUAAUGUGAUUGGUUAUUAAAGUGCAUAUUGCAGGUUAAAUUUUUUUUCCAAAUAUGAAAUUAUAUGAACCAUAUGAAAAGUUAAUGCAGGAUUUUUAAUGUUUUACAAGACAUGAGGGCUCAAAUUUAGUAGACAAAGUCACAGUUUCCGUGACUGUUCUGAAAAACCGCUUUUAUUUUAACAUCGCGUCAUAUUACGUCACGAGAGGGAGUCCUGUCCCACGCUCUGCGUUGGCGCGGUGCAGAGUAGGUUGGUAUUCAGUUAGAGCAGUCGUGUUUUCGAUUUAUCAUCAUGGUAAAUUAUUGUGUUUGUGGAGGUUGCACAAACUCCAGCCUGUCAGGACAUCGAGUCCACAGGUUUCCUGGUGAAGAGACGUGACUUCACUUCUGCAUCUGCUUCGAAAAACGCGGUGGUGCGUAGUGUUCACUUUAGACCGGAGGAUUAUCAUCCCGGUGAUAUGAUGGAGUUCAACAUGGGAUGCCGAAGCAAGAACCAAGUGAGGCUCAGAGCUGGUGCGGUACCUUCGGUGCACUCAGCAUCUCCAUCGGGUCCACCAUCAGCCUGUGGUUCAUGCAUCAGUCAGAGAUGCAGCUCGACGAAAACGUGGACUGUGCACCGCAAGUCUUUUUUUCUUUUUAACAUUUGCUAACUACCAAAUCAGUGAACAUAAUGAUUUCAAUAAUGAGAAGCAACGUGAUGUGUAUAAGUUACAAAGAACCGCAGCUAGCUUGUAAUAGCAAUAUUAAAAAUAAAAACCGUGUAAAAACGUUACCAUAUGAAUAAAUGGUAACCUCAGUUUGCUAAAAUUAUAACCAUCAAGUCUACAACUUAGUGACUUUGUUUGCACAGCUAAUUCGUAAUUUAUUGUCAUGAUGUGUAGGCUUUGGAAGAAACUGCAAGUAAUGAAGGGGGAGAUGCAUCUACAGCUGACCCAGAGCAGGAUGCUUUCUUUCCACUGGCCCCUCAAUCAUCUGUGCUUCACUUUGGCUCACAGUGUAACCUCAGACCUUCACAACGCUCAUCAGCUGUUCAGGCACAGCCCAAGAUGGUCAGUGUGGGGACUCAGACAGAAAGGUUUGAGAAACAAACAUCAACUCCACUGCCCAGUCCUGUGCACAGCGAUGAUGAAUCAUCCUCUGUUUUCAUGGAUGAACAUGGUGAUGUGUCAUGGAUCCCAGAGGAGGAAAUGAGAAGUGACUUAUGUGAUGAGAAACCACUGCAGGAAUCUCUCCCUGACCUCAAUGCUGCUGACAAGUUCAUUGUGAGCCAGCUGAUGUCUCUAUUUACAAUUUGCCCGGCCUGUUGUGAGGAAACCCAAGGACAAAUUGAGAAGCAGGAGGGAACUUUUGUAAAAAUAAAGCAAGUCUGUGCAGCAUGUGGGUAUCAGAGUUUUUGGCAGAACCAGCCAAUGCUGCAUCGAAAUAUGCCAGCCUGCAACCUUUUACUGAGUGGGGCCAUUCACUUUUCCGGUUGCAUGGCUACCCAGACCAUCAGGAUGUUGAAGCUGUUUGGGCUUCAGCGCAUCAGUGUCGGAAACCUUCUUCCGCCAUCAGCGCUUGUACACAAUUCCUACCAUUGUGCAGGCAUGGCAGAAUGAGCAGGCAGGGGUCAUUAGAGAUUUAAAUAAGAUGAGAAGGCUGAUCCUGUCUGGUGACUGCAGGUCAGAUUCUCCUGGCCAUUGUGCAAAAUAUGGCACAUAUUCAUUAAUUGAGGACAGAAUCAACAAGGUUUUAGAUAUUCAACUUGUCUAGAGCUCAGAGGUCCCAAGUAGCUCCUGGUGUGAGCUAGAGGGUCUAAAGCACAGCAUAAGGUUUCUGACUGAGCAACAUAUGCAAGUGUCAGCCCUUAUCACAGACAGAAAUCGGCAGGUUGCCAAAUGGGUGCGGGAGGAGUUGUGUCCAAAAGGAACAAGCCAUUUCUUUGACAUCUGGCAUAUUGGCAAAAGUCUAGGAAAAGCUUUGGAUGCUGCUGCAAAUACUUUCUGUAUUUGAUUAUUCUUUCUUACUAAGUUCUUAGAAAGUCCAGCCACUAUCAAUCACAUCAAUUACAGAUGAUUAAGCAUAUACAUCGUCAGUUUGUUGUUUUACACACAUGCACACAGACAUUAUUUUAUAGUUGUGAGAUGCAUAAAAAAAUCUUUAGACACGUAACACAAACCAUAAUCCAUAACAACAAAAGACAAUACUUUAUUUAACCUUUUCUGAUAAGAAGUGUGUGCUGCAAACGCGAGAAUUUUUGACGAUAGUUUCUGUCAAGUUCGCUCGUUUUAUCUCAAACACAGCUGUCGUCGUUUUUUUUGUCUGCGAGUGGCAGCAGGUAUGCGUUAAAAUUUCAAAUUGGAGCCUGUACUACAUAGAUUCUUGCAUCCAACAUCACAACAAGAUGAUAUUUUAAGCUCCUUGUGUAGCCGAAUCUGCGCUGGUUUGAAUGGGCUGCCUCCAGUUUUCCCUUUUUUUGCCUCCAGCUAGCGCUGUGACGUAAUCGUGACGUCGGCGCAAAAAGGGUCUAUAGCAGGCAUCAAAUUUGAAAUGAGCUCAUUUUGUGCAUAAAAUUGUAAAAUUGCUCAAUUUAAACAUUCGUUGUGUUAUCUAUGUUCUAUUGUGAAUAAAAUAUUGGCUCAUGUGAUUUGAAAUUCCUUUAGGUUUCAUCUUAUUAAAAUUAAAAUGUCCCAACAUUUCCGGAAUUUGGGUUGUAAUACAGACCCUCUCAUCUCCCUAUAGUAAGAGAAUUUCUGCUGACACACCACUGUGGACUGUGAAUUACAUUUUUAUUUAGAAUGUCUUUUUUUUUUU